AGCUAUGAUGUUGUAAUUUGCGUCUGAUUUGUAGCCACGACGACAGUUGCCUGCUGUCAGCAUGUCGGGCUAUUAAACUGCAGACAAGUGAUAUCUGAUGGCU